CUGAGAUGGCGAAGCGCGUGCAAAGAUAUUUCCCACAAUCCCGCACGAGCGAAAAAUCCCAGCGAUGCCGGAAUCACAUGACUGGGGUGAGGCGAGGUUACCCGCGUGCCGGCUCUGCCCUCCGCUGCUGAGGGAACGUUGGAGAAUCCAUAGGAAAGGAGUCAGUUUAUGUUGAGAGUAAAAGUGAUGAUGAUUAUCUCAGGCGCUGUAAGAACAAAACCUGGAUGGAAUCACUAAACAGACAUGACACCAGUUAUACAACAAAACUGCUGGGGCUUGUUGUAAAAGAAAACAGGUUACUAAACAACUUGUAACCAAACAAAAAAUAUUUUAAAUUAAGCUAGACUUCUCUUGGGAAGAAAACCAGCUGCCAUGCUGCAGUCAGAGAUGAAUUUUCCAGAUGUUAAUCUUUUCCCCAUGUAGUGUUGGCAGUUUUCCAACAAUACUGAUUUUUCACUUCUCUCAGGAAAAGCUAUGUUAAUAAAUAUACACUACAAUUUAAAUCCA